UACGGGGGGGGCAAGCGUUGUUCGGAAUUACUGGGCGUAAAGGGCUCGUAGGUGGCCAACUAAGUCAGACGUGAAAUCCCUCAGCUUAACUGGGGAACUGCGUCUGAUACUGGAUGGCUUGAGUUUGGGAGAGGGAUGCGGAAUUCCAGGUGUAGCGGUGAAAUGCGUAGAUAUCAGGAGGAACACCGGUGGCGAAGGCGGGAUCCUGGGCCAGUACUGACGCUGAGGAGCGAAAGCGUGGGGAGCAAACAGG
rnacentral:rRNA from 1 species